CCUACGGGAGGCAGCAGUAAGGAAUAUUGGACAAUGGACGCAAGUCUGAUCCAGCCAUGCCGCGUGAAGGAUUAAGGCCCUCUGGGUUGUAAACUUCUUUUAUAGGGGACGAAAAAAGGGCUUUCUAGCUCGACUGACGGUACCCUAUGAAUAAGCACCGGCUAACUCCGUGCCAGCAGCCGCGGUAAUACGGAGGGUGCAAGCGUUAUCCGGAUUCACUGGGUUUAAAGGGUGCGUAGGCGGGCAGUUAAGUCAGUGGUGAAAUCUCUGGGCUCAACCCGGAAACUGCCAUUGAUACUAUCUGUCUUGAAUAUUGUGGAGGUGAGCGGAAUAUGUCAUGUAGCGGUGAAAUGCUUAGAUAUGACAUAGAACACCGAUUGCGUAGGCAGCUCGCUACACAUAUAUUGACGCUGAGGCACGAAAGCGUGGGGAUCAAACAGGAUUAGAUACCCUGGUAGUCCACGCCCUAAACUAUGAUUACUCGACAUAUGCGAUACACUGUAUGUGUCUGAGACGAAGACAUAAGUAAUACCACCGUACGGUAGUACGACCGACGACGGUUAGUAACGUACGAAGGAAGUUAGUACGGACGUUGAGACGAGCCGACGGACGACGACGAGGGAGGUAGG
rnacentral:rRNA from 1 species